rnacentral:rRNA from 1 species
AUGCAAGUCGAGCGGAUGAAGGGAGCUUGCUCCUGGAUUCAGCGGCGGACGGGUGAGUAAUGCCUAGGAAUCUGCCUGGUAGUGGGGGAUAACGUCCGGAAACGGGCGCUAAUACCGCAUACGUCCUGAGGGAGAAAGUGGGGGAUCUUCGGACCUCACGCUAUCAGAUGAGCCUAGGUCGGAUUAGCUAGUUGGUGGGGUAAAGGCCUACCAAGGCGACGAUCCGUAACUGGUCUGAGAGGAUGAUCAGUCACACUGGAACUGAGACACGGUCCAGACUCCUACGGGAGGCAGCAGUGGGGAAUAUUGGACAAUGGGCGAAAGCCUGAUCCAGCCAUGCCGCGUGUGUGAAGAAGGUCUUCGGAUUGUAAAGCACUUUAAGUUGGGAGGAAGGGCAGUAAGUUAAUACCUUGCUGUUUUGACGUUACCAACAGAAUAAGCACCGGCUAACUUCGUGCCAGCAGCCGCGGUAAUACGAAGGGUGCAAGCGUUAAUCGGAAUUACUGGGCGUAAAGCGCGCGUAGGUGGUUCAGCAAGUUGGAUGUGAAAUCCCCGGGCUCAACCUGGGAACUGCAUCCAAAACUACUGAGCUAGAGUACGGUAGAGGGUGGUGGAAUUUCCUGUGUAGCGGUGAAAUGCGUAGAUAUAGGAAGGAACACCAGUGGCGAAGGCGACCACCUGGAC